rnacentral:rRNA from 1 species
UGCAGUCGAGCGGUAAGGCUCCCUUUCGGGGGUACUCGAGUGGCGAACGGGUGAGUAACACGUGGGUGAUCUGCCCUGCACUUCGGGAUAAGCCUGGGAAACUGGGUCUAAUACCGGAUAUGACCCUCCGGUGCCUGGCUUUUGGUGGAAAGGUUUACUGGUGCAAGAUGGGCCCCCGGCCUAUCCACUUGUUGGUGGGGUAAUGGCCUACCAAGGCGACCACCGGUAGCCCACCUGAAAGGGUGACCGGCCACCCUGGGACUGAAAACGGCCCCAACUCCUACCGGAGGCAGCAGUGGGGAAUAUUGCACAAUGGGCGAAAGCCUGAUGCAGCGACGCCCCGUGAGGGAUGACGGCCUUCGGGUUGU